GGGAAUCCGGUGCGAAUCCGGAACUGUCCCGCAACGGUGUGAUGUGGCGUGCUCUGCCGCGCCCGCGAGUCCGAACACC
rnacentral:ncRNA from 2 species